AAAGUAUAUUCCUUACUCUUUUUAUGGAUAAAAUGCUCAAACCCCUCUCUAGUCUAUUGUGCACGCAAAUGAUACAAAAGUCUUUAAAUUAGAGUUAUCUCAUAAUUUGACCCAAACGUGCAAAUGACACAAAAGUCUUUAAAUAGAGUUAUCUCCUUACCAGUCGAUAAUUUAUACGAAAGUAUCGCUUUUCUAGCUCUUUCACACUAAAAAAUACGACAAUAUUUUUGUUUUUAGGAUUGUCAAAUUCUUUUUACCGUUUGAAAAUUGAAAUUUAUUUGCUCUUAUUGAAAUUAACUACUCCCUCUGUUCUUAAAUAUUAGUCACUUUACCAAUUGAGGUUGGCAUGAGUGGUUAAGGGUCUCUUGCUCCUUAACAAAGGUCUCGAGUUCGAGCCUUGGGAAUGGAAAAAAUCUCAACUGGGAGGGAUGAUGCCCAUCGAAUUAUUAAUAUAUAGAUACCUAUCUACGCAUCUAUGCGUGCAUACUAGAUAAAACGACGUCGUUUCUGGAUUAAAGACCACCUCCAUCAUAAUAUCACCCAUAAAUUCAGCAUAUACCCAUUUUCUCUCUCCUCUGACCUCUCACCAUCUUCUCUCUCAUUAACUCCAUUUUAUUUCUCCAUUUUUUUUACUGAUAUGGCAAAUCACCGGCGGCGCCACCACCACCUCCAUCAUAAUAUCAUCAGCUACAUUGAUUUUCUCGGUGGUUUCUCCCAGCAAUUACCUCCAUCGUCGGCGUUAUGUUUCUAUGUUUCUUCGUCCUUUCCUUUUUCGCUCCUCGUCCUUCUCGCCUCCUUCACCGUGGUCGCACUCGCAGCUAGCUCAUCCUCCUCAUCUGUCAGAUGUUCUUGAGCUUCUGGAGCUGAUUCAUCGUCGGCGAUUUAUAAAUCUCAUAGAUGCGUGAAUUACCUCAGGAAGCACAAUUUUAGUUUUGUAAAGAAGCCAAAAAAGAUGAUGCAGAGGAUGCAAUGAUCUAAUUUUGUGUUCAGUUGCUUUAUGGUUCGUGCUCAAGUACACAUGGAAGGUAAAUGUUAAUAAGAAUGCGGCAACGAAAGAAAAAAAAAUUGAUUUAGAAAUGGAAGAUAUGGUAUGAAGAGAUGUUGUAAGAAUUGAAGAAGAAUUGAAGGCAGAAGCAACAAGAAAAGAAUCUGGAAAUAAGGUCGCAGAUAGAAAGAGAAAAGAGACCGAUGUACAUAAAAAGUGAAAGCCGAAAGGAAGGAAGCAGAAAAAUUAGAAGCAUAUAGAAAGAGAAAAUUGGAAGUAGAAGUAAAUAAAUGAAAUGUUCAUUUUUUAAACAUGAAUGUUCAUUUGUGUGUUUUUUAUGUGUGCUUCUUGUAUCUUACUC